AGAGUUUGAUCCUGGCUCAGGAUGAACGCUGGCGGUAUGCUUAACACAUGCAAGUCGAACGGAGUUCUUAGGAACUUAGUGGCGGACGGGUGAGUAACGCGUGAGAAUCUGGCUUCAGGUUCGGGACAACAGUCGGAAACGAUUGCUAAUACCGGAUGUGCCUAAGGGUGAAAGAUUUAUCACCUGAAGAUGAGCUCGCGUCUGAUUAGCUAGUAGGUGUGGUAAGAGCGCACCUAGGCACCGAUCAGUAGCUGGUCUGAGAGGAUGACCAGCCACACUGGGACUGAGACACGGCCCAGACUCCUACGGGAGGCAGCAGUGGGGAAUUUUCCGCAAUGGGCGAAAGCCUGACGGAGCAAUACCGCGUGAGGGAGGAAGGCUCUUGGGUUGUAAACCUCUUUUCUCAGGGAAUAAGUACUGAAGGACCUGAGGAAUCAGC
rnacentral:rRNA from 1 species